GUUUUAGUUCUCACAGGUGGUGUUGUUAAAAUCAUGGCAUUUUCAGAUCUGAGUGUUUGCAUUGGUUAAUAUAUAUUAACGAGUUCUUGUAGGUAGACAGGUACAUCCUCAUGCAAAUCCUUGAACACAUAGACGAGGAGUUUAUAUUGGCAUCGGUAUGUUACGGGGAGCCAAUGUAGAGACUUGAGACUGAAGACAAUGUGGAGACUUAUGAUUAAUGUAAGGUUUUGAACACACCAUGAUAUAUGUCAAUGUCCUAGUACAUGCAAUUAAAGUCUUGAAAUACUAAGUUCAAGUGUUAACAUUUAUGCUCGGGGUACAACAUUAGAAUUU
rnacentral:lncRNA from 1 species